UUCUAAUCCUGUGAGUUGGUGUCCCUUUUUACUUUUUACACCUCACCUCAGUUUGGAGACAGCUAAAAGAAGCUACGUGAAGGCACCGUGCUCUUCCCAGAACCAUGGACAGCGCCCAGCUUCCCCUUUCUUCUCCCCUUGGCCCGAACCCCAAAGUUCAGGCCUAGCGGGAUUCCUCACUCCAGCCACUCCCACGCCAUAGGAUAUUCUCUUCUGAAACCUCUGAUCUGAGCCCAAAACAACAGUGAGCUUAAAGACUACAGUUUGUGGGUGGAGAGUCUUGCUUGCUCCCUGCCCGGUAAUAAUCUUAGCGCCCAGAGUUGACUCUCCCUUUGCCAGCGAGUCUCCCGAAUUUGCAUCUAGUCUGCGCGGAGUAGAACGUAGCUCCACCCCGCAGUCACCUUGAUAUAGCAUCUUUCAGGAUCCUUGGGUGAGAUCCCGACUCCUCUGCGGCUGCUCCAGUCACUGAGUACACAAAAACAUGCUAACAUGUUGGCUGCAGUAUUUUUUUUCCAACCCAAAAAGAUUUUUUUUAAAAAAGUGAAUGGCUCACACUACUGACACACAAGACAUGUUUAGCCAGGCGCUUCCAACUUAACACGAAAUAAAAAGAAAGAAAAAUGAAAAAAAGAAAAAAAUACCUACAAGGGGGAGAAGAACUGUGAAACACUGAAAAUUCUAUUCAUAUUAGGAUGCCCCUCACCCAUUUGCCCUUGAAAAGGGGUCCUGUCACUCAGAAAGAACUGUUUCUUCAACGUCCCCCCACCCCACCCCGGCACCAACACACCAGCGGGCCCUGCUCGGCCGUGCGGCUCUGGCCCACUCCGCAGCCCUCCCCGCGCCGCACACACAGUUUCUUCCAAGUGCUGGAGAGAUGGGAGAUGCAGCUUCUCCUUGGCUGAGCCAGACGGGAACUUCUCACCCCGGCCCAACCCUGGGACCGCUGAGGGCCGGGCAGUUCUUUUUAUGGUGGCUAUCAGGCACCCUGGCUGCAGCCCCUCCCGGUUGCGGGACAGCGACCCUGCGCGCGCUCGCUCGUCACGUGCCUGAUUUCCGAGCCCCCGCAGGGCCCUUUGUUAAGCACCGCCGUCCCCUUCCAGGGCUGGAGCCGAGAGGCGAGACCCAGAAGGAUGAACCAACUGGACAAUCCUGCAACCCUGGUUUUGCUUCGGCUCCUAGGAAGGCCCUGAAACUCGUUGGGUGGGUGCCCCGAAGCACUUAACAAAUCAAGAUUCCCAGCCAUUUAGAGGAAGCUACUUGGGCCACCUCCAAAGUUUUGAACCAAAGGCACAAAGGAGCUAGGGGCCCAGUGGAGGGCGAGCCUCUGCGCACUGGGCAUAACCAUUGGGCCGACUUCCCUCCGUUCCAUUCCACCCUCAAUUCUCCCACCGCAGUCCUGUACAAGGCUCAACGACUCAGUGGAUGGGAGUGUGUGUUUAAAGUGUGUGGUAGGUGCAUGUGUGUGUAACCAGGUGGAAAUUUCAAAGGAUAUAUCCGACACAUACAGAAGAUGGGCCUUGAGCAAAUGAACUGUCAGAGAGUUUAAGUGACUUGCAUGGGUGGAAAGAGAGGGUCAGGUCUGCUCUGAGUGGAACAUCUGCACAACAUUCUAGCAGCUUACUCAACAACAACAACAAAAAAUCUAGCCAUUUACUGUAGAAAAAAUAAUAAUAAAAAAGGCACUAAUGAUUAUGGUUCCCACCCCUUCCCCCAAAAGGCCAAAUCCUAAUGAAAUAAUUCAAAGGUAGGCCCCACUUCCUAAUAGUGGAAUUAAACAACAACAAAAAGAACCCAAGAAAAAGAACUUCCCAACCUAGCCUUCCUAAGAGCCUGGGAACCUUGCUGAGGAACUAGGUAAACAGAAGAUGAGCGAGUUUCUUUUGCGCUGAGGCCAUGAAGCUGGCUUUACAUAUAGUUCCGCCUGGAUACACAAUUAAAUUACAGUAAAUUCCUCUUUAAAUAGUAAAAUAUGGAAUGCUCUUCAGAAUUCAAAUGUCUAGGGUUAAGUAGUUUUAAAGGUAGGUUUGAAAUGGCUUGUGUGGAGAAGCAACCUUUAAGCCCUAAAACUAUUAUAAAUAUGCUAAUUAUCUGGGUGUCAGUUUAUCUCUCCAUAUUUCUUUCUAAAAUGAGGAAAGCAUUCAUAAAAAGCUACUUGGCACACUUUAUUUUUGGAAAGCAGAUGUUAAUUUUUUCACGUAUCAUUUUAUGACCAAGUACAUGUGUAACAUUGGAAGGCAUCCAGAACGCCUCUAUUAUUUGCUAAAUGACUGUUAGUUGAAACAUAUUAUUCUCGGCCUAACUACGAUAUAGGUUAUAUCAAUAAAGUAAACAUCUGUUUUUUUUUUAAUGGAGGGGGGGCAUGAAGAGUUAAAAACGACAGAAGAAGGAAAAAAAGAGUUUGGGAAAGAAGACGCACCUGUGCUGUAGAAAAUGGGAUAUUUAUAUUGUUCUGUGCAAAACAAAGUCUCCCAAUCGGGCACUCGGGGAUAUUUACAUGGCGGGAGAUAAAGUUGAAAGCCUUUCCCGGCGUGCCAAAUGGGAUUCUCCCUGAGGCCUUCUGCGUGGUAAGAUAACAGGUACUGAGCGCUCCUGGCGGCUGGGGCCUUCUCCUGCCGCCCCGCCCUCCCCCUCCUCUUUCCCCCCACCUCCAGCUCCCGCCCCAGGCCAGCGGGGCUCGGAAUUCCCAGGCACCACGGAAAUUUCAGCGGGGUUCCCAGCCGAGAAGUACGCUCCGGAAGCGUCCUCAUUUGCCCUGCGUCGCUCGAGGACGCCGGCGCCCAGGAUAAGCCAGUGGCGUGAUAAUUAAUGGAAUACAAUAUUUAUGGCCCAAUGUAUUGACUCCGAGGCAAGUACGCCGCGUAGACAGUCCGUGGGGGUCUGGCAAACAGGGGGCGAGUGAGCAAACAUAAUGACCGGAGUACUUAUGUCUAUCGGGUUUGCUCACUUAAAUCCGAGGUAUGUAACAUCAUGAUAAAUAUUAAUAUACACCUGCACAGCCCCUCAGCAACGCCAUCCUAAACUCUCCCUUCCUGAGUGCUGCCCUUUACAAAAAGGCCAGAGAGGAGGGCUUUAACAUAAAAUGCUGCAAAUAUGAAAAAUAGGUCACCAAUAAAAUUGGUCUCAGCAUGGAGUGUAAUUGCAACAAAGUGCCGCCGAGUAAAAUCGAGGAGUGAGCUGGCUGAGGCGGCACAGUCGCGAACCAUCUGGUGUGUAUUAAAAGCGGUGCUGUAAAUAUUGCUGAGAGCUAAUGCAUUAUCGGCUUCUAUAAGUGCACACGGCCUGUAAGCUUUCCAUAUGUUAGAACAUGUAGAUCGGAUGGGAGCAAGGAAAGGUGUUCUAUCAAUCACCAGCUUCGGAAACAUCGGGUUUUGCCACUUUUGAUGGAAUUUUGGCCAAAACGUGUCAAAUGUACAUCUCCAUUAUCUGCCCCUCCCAGCAGCCCCUUCCUCUUGCCGCAGCUCUUCUUUCUCAUUUUCUCUAGCUUCUCUCCUGCUCCCAUCUUCCACCCCCCCCCCCUUUUCUUACUUUCCACGGGGAUAGGGCAGGCACUGCUGACGUCACUUCAUAGCAGUAAAAGAGAGUAACUGAGAGAGAAAGAGAGAGAGAGCGAGAGAGAGAGAGAGAGAGAGAGAGAGAGAGAGAGAGAGAGAGAGAGAGAGAAUCAUGUGUUUUUCAUCAGUGCUAAAUUUUUGCCUUAUUCAUAGAAACGAGCCUCCCAGCAUGGGUACUCCUUCUGUUCUGAAGCUAGUAACCGUCACCACUCCCUUUUGUGGGGUGGUCCACAAGGUGGGGCGCAGAGUAGUCCUGUGCAGGGGUCUAGUGACAGAACCAGCUCUUUCGGAUGAAACCAGGGGAAAAUGAGAUUCAAAGAGCACUUCUAGGGACGAUUUCGCACCACAACGUCCAAGCAACCUCUACAAGCCGGCUGGAGGGCUCCUGGCUACAAUGCAGUUUUGGUUUGCACCCAGGAACUUCCUUUUUCUAACUCGUCCCUCCAUAACCCACCCCCCUACUGAAUUGCCACACACAACAUAGCUAAUAAUUUUCCCUGUCACAUUACUUUUCUGGGGGAAGCAGCUCAAGUCUUCUCUUUCCUGAUGAUACCCCUUAUUUAAGCGGUUACUAUAAUUACAACCUCGUCUCUUCUGAAUCCCCCCCCCCCCCGCCUCAUAUUACUCAGCUACAAGUUUUGUUUUUCUUUCUUAAGUCCACUGGUAGGAACUACCUCUAUUGCGUCUAUGCUGUCCCGCAGAGAUCACUUUUUCCCAGUUGGCCUGGUCUCUCUCAUUAUUUCUACUUCUUGCCAUGCACCUCUUUCCCUCCUUUCCCUCUCACCUGUACACUCAGAACAAACCUGAGACUUCAGUGUGGGUAAACCUGUCGGCCAUGACAAUCCAGGCUCAAUCAGCAAAUAAAUAAAAUUCUUAC